rnacentral:lncRNA from 1 species
UUGAAAGCCAGUUUUGAAAUUGCCUAUUCUGUUUAUAUUUAUACAGCAGAGGAAUUGCUGCAGGAGUCAAGCAUAUCACGGCCUCUUGAAGGCUAUCGCACAAAAGUCUUGCAAAGACUACAAGAAAUUGUUGAGAACCAGCAAGACAUCCUUGCCAUGCAAAGGCAGUUACUGGCUGCAGUAGCUGUGACCAUGACAGAGGAAGAUGGGUUUUUUUCUGUAAAAUGGGCCAUGCCAAACAGUGGAGGAUCUGCAGACCCUUGACAGGGAUUUGGAAAAUAAAGACAAAAGGGCCAAGAUGUGGAAAUACAUGGAACGGUCCGAGGUCGGACACAAACCGGGAACCUGAAGCGCGACCGCCGACCGCUGCUCUCUGCACGCACUUGCGCUUCAUGUGCGCUGCACACAAACAAGGUGCUAAUUCUUUCCGUUCCUACACUUUGAGCUGCAGUAGGUAACUUUUGUAAAUUUUUUUUUUUUUUUUUACAUAUUUGUUAAACCUGUCAUUAUGUCCUGACAGUAGAAUAUGAGACAGAUGAUCUGUGAAAAAAAUCAAGCUCCUCUGGCUCCUCCCAGUGGUCCUAUUGCCAUUUGCAGUUACAGAACGCUCCAGGUAAGAAAACAACCAAUCAGAGCUGCGGUCCGUAACUUUGUAUGUAUUCAAAAUGUAUAUCAUAAGCGAGUACACCAUGAAUCCAUUUUCCAAACCGUGUUUUUAAC